GUAAGGUCAAGUAAAGAAGGGCGCACGGUGAAUGCCUAGGCACAAUGAGGCGAAGAAGGACGUGACGAACCACGAAAGGCUUCGGGGAGCGGUAAGUACGCAGCGAUCCGGAGACAUCCGAAUGGGGGAACCCAAUGCAUGCAGAUGCAUUACCAGGCGGUGAACAAAUAGCCGUCUGGGGCAAGACGCAGUGAACUGAAACAUCUAAGUAGCUGCAGGAAGAGAAAGAAAAAUCGAUUUCCUUAGUAGCGGCGAGCGAAGAGGAAAGAGCCCAAACCAGAUGAUUUAUCAUUUGGGGUUGUAGGACUGCAAUAAGGCAGCGCAAAGGAUAGCAGAAUUAUCUGGGAAGGUAAGCCAGAGAGGGUGAGAGCCCCGUAAGCGAAAUCCGGAGCGCGCCGAGCAGGAUCCUGAGUAGGUCGGGACACGAGGAAUCCCGAUUGAAGCAGCGAGGACCAUCUCGCAAGGCUAAAUACUACAUUGUGACCGAUAGUGAACCAGUACCGUGAGGGAAAGGUGAAAAGAACCCCGGGAGGGGAGUGAAAGAGAACCUGAAACCGUGUGCCUACAAAUAGUCAAAGCCCAUUAAAGGGUAAUGGCGUGCCUUUUGUAGAAUGAACCGGCGAGUUACGUUAGCUAGCGAGGUUAAGUCAGAAAAGACGGAGCCGGAGCGAAAGCGAGUCUGAAGAGGGCGGAGCAGUUAGCUGAUGUAGACCCGAAACCAAGUGACCUACCCAUGACCAGGUUGAAGGUGCGGUAAAGCGCACUGGAGGACCGAACCCACGUAAGUUAAAAAUUGCGGGGAUGAGUUGUGGGUAGCGGUGAAAUUCCAAACGAACUUGGAGAUAGCUGGUUCUCUCCGAAAUAGCUUUAGGGCUAGCCUGGUGCCAGGACGAUCAUGGAGGUAGAGCACUGUUUGGACGAAGGGCCCGUCAGGGGUUACUGAAUUCAGAUAAACUGCGAAUUCCAGAGAUCGGGGCACUGGAGUCAGACUGCGAGUGAUAAGAUCCGUAGUCGAAAGGGAAACAGCCCAGAUCACCAGUUAAGGUCCCCAAAUCUAUGCUAAGUGGAAAAGGAUGUGGAGUUGCGUAGACAACUAGGAUGUUGGCUCAGAAGCAGCCAUCAUUAAAAGAGUGCGUAAUAGCUCACUAGUCGAGUGACGCUGCGCCGAAAAUUUACCGGGGCUAAGCAUAGUACCGAAACUGUGGAUGUGCAGUAAUGCACGUGGUAGGAGAGCGUUCUAAAUGCGGCGAAGCUUAACUGAGAAGAUAAGUGGAGCGUUUAGAAGUGAGAAUGCCGGUAUGAGUAGCGCAAGACAGGUGAGAAUCCUGUCCGCCGAAAGACUAAGGUUUCCUGGGGCAGGCUCGUCCGCCCAGGGUAAGUCGGGACCUAAGGCAAGGCCGAAAGGCGUAGUCGAUGGACAACAGGUAGAAAUUCCUGUACUGCGCAGCUUCGUUAACAGCGAAGGAGGGACGCAGGAGGCAAAGAACGCAUGGCGCUGGAAGCCAUGUUCAAGCGUUAAGUGUAGUAAUGAGUCAAAUGCUUGUUACUGUUAAGCACAAGGCGUGAUGAGGAGCGAAAUCAAAGUAGCGAAGGUUCAAGCGUCACACUGCCAAGAAAAGCUUCUAGCGAGAAGCUGCGUACCCGUACCGCAAACCGACACAGGUAGUCGAGUGGAGAACACUCAGGUGAGCGAGAGAACUCUCGUUAAGGAACUCGGCAAAAUCGCCCCGUAACUUCGGGAGAAGGGGUGCUGGUGCAAAAGCCAGCCGCAGUGAAUAGGCCCAAACAACUGUUUAUCAAAAACACAGGUCUCUGCCAAGUCGUAAGACGACGUAUAGGGGCUGACACCUGCCCGGUGCUGGAAGGUUAAGGAGAGCUGUUAGCGCAAGCGAAGCAGCGAACUGAAGCCCCAGUAAACGGCGGCCGUAACUAUAACGGUCCUAAGGUAGCGAAAUUCCUUGUCGGGUAAGUUCCGACCUGCA
rnacentral:rRNA from 1 species